rnacentral:snoRNA from 2 species
AUGGAAGUGAGUAUCCUUUCCCCAGCUUAUCGACUAUGAUUAUACUGUGCGCAAAUAUCUGAGUAUUCUAAGCGAGAAAUCUGAUCCAU